rnacentral:tRNA from 1 species
GCAUGGUGGUGCAGUGGGUAGCACUGUUGGAUCUUAGCAAGAAGGUCUUAGGUUCGAAUCCUGGCCUGGGCC